rnacentral:sRNA from 2 species
UUAAAAGUUUUCUAGGGUUCCGCGGCCUAUUUGCCGGUCAGGUCCGAGAGAAAACACACAGCGCGCUGUGUUCACGGAGGGAUAAAAGCCCGGGAGGU